rnacentral:rRNA from 1 species
UACAGAGGGUGCAAGCGUUAAUCGGAAUUACUGGGCGUAAAGCGUGCGUAGACGGUUACAUAAGUCGGGUGUGAAAGCCCCGGGCUCAACCUGGGAAUUGCAUUCGAGACUGCGUAGCUAGGGUGCGGAAGAGGGAAGCGGAAUUUCCGGUGUAGCGGUGAAAUGCGUAGAUAUCUGGAGGAACACCGGUGGCGAAGGCGGCAUCCUGGACCAUUACUGACGCUGAGGAGCGAAAGCCAGGGGAGCAAACGGG